UACGUAGGGGGCUAGCGUUGUCCGGAAUUACUGGGCGUAAAGGGCUCGUAGGCGGCCAACUAAGUCAGACGUGAAAUCCCUCAGCUUAACUGGGGAACUGCGUCUGAUACUGGAUGGCUUGGAUUUGGGAGAGGGAUGCGGAAUUCCAGGUGUAGCGGUGAAAUGCGUAGAUAUCUGGAGGAACACCGGUGGCGAAGGCGGCAUCCUGGACCAAUAUUGACGCUGAGGAGCGAAAGCCAGGGGAGCAAACAGG
rnacentral:rRNA from 1 species